GAUUAACGCUGGCGGCGUGCAUGAAACAUGCAAGUCGAGCGCGGUGUUCAGUGGGGUAACCCGCUGAACAUCUAGCGGCGCACGGGUGAGUAACACGUGAGCAACCUACCUUCGAGUCGGGGAUAGCCCUGGGAAACCAGGAUUAAUACCCGAUGUGGUCACGACGAGACAUCUCGAUGUGAGUAAAGGCGCAAGCCGCUCGAUGACGGGCUCGCGGCCUANAGCUUGUUGGUGGGGUAACGGCCUACCAAGGCGAUGAUGGGUAGCUGGUCUGAGAGGACGAUCAGCCACACUGGGACUGAGACACGGCCCAGACUCCUACGGGAGGCAGCAGUUAGGAAUUUUCCGCAAUGGGCGAAAGCCUGACGGAGCAACGCCGCGUGGGUGAUGAAGACC
rnacentral:rRNA from 1 species